rnacentral:rRNA from 2 species
UACGGAGGGUGCAAGCGUUGUCCGGAUUUAUUGGGUUUAAAGGGUGCGUAGGCGGCCUAUUAAGUCAGGGGUGAAAGACUGCAGCUCAACUGUAGCAGUGCCUUUGAUACUGAUGGGCUUGAGUACAGAUGAGGCCGGCGGAAUGGGUGGUGUAGCGGUGAAAUGCAUAGAUACCAUCCAGAACACCGAUUGCGAAGGCAGCCGGCUAAACUGUAACUGACGCUGAGGCACGAAAGCGUGGGGAUCGAACAGG